CCUCUGGUGUUCGGGUUGUGUCGCCAGACGCAUUGCCCGGUAGCUAAGUUCGGGAUCGAUAACCGCUGAAAGCAUCUAAGCGGGAAGCGAGCCUUGAGAUGAGUUCUCCCUGAUACUUUAAGUAUCCUAAAGGGUUGUCGUAGACUACGACGUUGAUAGGCAGGGUGUGUAAGCGUUGUGAGGCGUUGAGCUAACCUGUACUAAUUGCCCGUGAGGCUUAACCAUACAACACCCAAGGGGUUU
rnacentral:rRNA from 1 species